UGGGGCUUAGUUUACGGUUGGUAAAACGCAGGAUUUUGAUUCCUGAAAAGCGUGUUCAACCCAGCUGCCCCAG
rnacentral:tRNA from 1 species